UACGUAGGGUGCGAGCGUUAAUCGGAAUUACUGGGCGUAAAGCGUGCGCAGGCGGUUCGUUGUGUCUGCUGUGAAAGCCCCGGGCUCAACCUGGGAAUGGCAGUGGAAACUGGCGAGCUGGAGUGUGGCAGAGGGGGGUGGAAUUCCAGGUGUAGCAGUGAAAUGCGUAGAGAUCUGGAGGAACACCGAUGGCGAAGGCAGCCCCCUGGGCUGACACUGACGCUCAGGCACGAAAGCGUGGGGAGCAAACAGG
rnacentral:rRNA from 1 species